rnacentral:rRNA from 1 species
AACGAACGCUGGCGGCAGGUCUUAGGCAUGCAAGUCGAACGGGUGUAGUAAUACACCAGUGGCGAACGAGUGAGUAACGCGUGGGAAUCUGCCCAUCUCUGGGGAAUAACGUUUGGAAACGAACGCUAAUACCGCAUACGCCCGCAAGGGGGCAGUUGUAUCGGAGAUGGAUGAGCCCGCGUUGGAUUAGGUAGUUGGUGGGGUAACGGACUACGAAGGCGAUGAUCCAUAACUGGUCUGAGAGGACGAUCAGCCACGCUGGAACUGAGAUACGGGCCAGACUCAUACGGGAGGCAGCAGCUAAGAAUAUUGGGCAAUGGAGGAAACUCUGACCCAGCCAUGCCGCGUGAAUGAAGAAGGCCUUCGGGUUGUAAAGUUCUUUUAGUCGUGACGAUGAUGACGGUAGCGACAGAAAAAGCACCGGCUAACUUCGUGCCAGCAGCCGCAGUAA